rnacentral:rRNA from 1 species
AACUGUUUCAUCUUAAUUUUUUUUAGAAUUUAAUUUUUUAGUAAAAAAGCUAAAAUUUAUUUAAAAGACGAGAAGACCCUAUAAAUCUUUAUAUUAGAUUUAUUAUUAUUAUUUAGAUUUAUUUUAUUAUAAUAAUUAAUAAUAUUUUAUUGGGGUGAUAUUAAAAUUUAUCUAACUUUUAAUAUUUUAUUUCAUUAAUUUAUGAAUAAAUGAUCCGUUUUUAACGAUUAAAAAUAUAAGUUACUUUAGGGAUAACAGCGUAAUUUUUUUGGAGAGUUCUUAUCGAUAAAAAAGAUUGCGACCUCGAUGUUGGAUUAAGAAAUAAUUUUAGGUGUAGUAGCUUAAAUU